rnacentral:rRNA from 1 species
ACCGCGGCUGCUGGCACGUAGUUAGCCGGCGCUUCUUCUGCAGGUACCGUCACUUUCGCUUCUUCCCUGCUGAAAGAGGUUUACAACCCGAAGGCCGUCAUCCCUCACGCGGCGUCGCUGCAUCAGGCUUUCGCCCAUUGUGCAAUAUUCCCCACUGCUGCCUCCCGUAGGAGUCUGGGCCGUGUCUCAGUCCCAGUGUGGCCGGUCGCCCUCUCAGGCCGGCUACCCGUCGUCGCCUUGGUAGGCCAUUACCCCACCAACAAGCUGAUAGGCCGCGGGCUCAUCCUUCACCGCCGGAGCUUUUAACCCCGUCCCAUGCGGGACAGAGUGUUAUCCGGUAUUAGACCCCGUUUCCAGAGCUUGUCCCAGAGUGAA